UACGAAGGGUGCAAACGUUAUUCGGAAUCACUGGGCGUAAAGGGUGCGUGGACGGCAUGUUAAGUUCGUUGUUAAAGGCUCCGGCCUAACCGGAGUACCGCGAUGAAAACUGGCGAGCUAGAGGGUGAGAGAGAGAAGUGGAAUUCCUGGAGUAGCGGUAAAAUGCGUGGAUCUCAGGAGGAACACCAAUGGCGAAGGCAGCUUCUUGGCUCAUUCCUGACGUUGAGGCACGAAAGCGUGGGGAGCAACAGG
rnacentral:rRNA from 1 species